GACGAACGCUGGCGGCGUGCCUAAUACAUGCAAGUCGAACGCUUUUUCUUUCACCGGAGCUUGCUCCAUCGAAAGAAAAAGAGUGGCGAACGGGUGAGUAACACGUGGGUAACCUGCCCAUCAGAAGGGGAUAACACUUGGAAACAGGUGCUAAUACCGUAUAACACUAUUUUCCGCAUGGAAGAAAGUUGAAAGGCGCUUUUGCGUCACUGAUGGAUGGACCCGCGGUGCAUUAGCUAGUUGGUGAGGUAACGGCUUCACAAGGCAACGAUGCAUAGCCGACCUGAGAGGGGGAUCGGCCACACUGGGACUGAGACACGGCCCAGACUCCUACGGGAGGCAGCAGUAGGGAAUCUUCGGCAAUGGACGAAAGUCUGACCGAGCAACGCCGCGUGAGUGAAGAAGGUUUUCGGAUCGUAAAACUCUGUUGUUAGAGAAGAACAAGGAUGAGAGUAAAAUGUUCAUCCCUUGACGGUAUCUAACCAGAAAGCCACGGCUAACUACGUGCCAGCCGCCGCGGUAA
rnacentral:rRNA from 1 species